CUUAUAAUAUUUUAUUUUAUUUUUCUCUUUUCCUAUUCAUCUUCUUCCUUUCUCUUCCUGUUCAACCUACGACCACAACCAUCUCUUCUCUUCCUUCUCUUUUCCUUUCUCUUUUCUUUCUUCUUUUUCUUCCUCUUUUCUUUUUGUUUUCUACGGCCGGCCACCCCAAAUUUCUCUUCUUCCGUUUCUCUUUCUUUUCUACCAUACCCAGCCGUCACUGCAGCCUCUCCGUCUGCAACCGUCGGCCGCCAUCUCCGGUUCGCGAAGCAACCUUGCAGCAGUCGUCCCGCGCGCCGAUCUGCCGUCUCCAUCGCCGAUUCUGUCUCCGUCGACCACGCUCCCCGCUCACAACCGCCGCUCCAUCUGCUAUCGACGUCGGCCGACUAGUUGCUGUAACCGUUCAGAUUUGCUGUAACCGUUCAGAUUCGCGGUCUGUUCGCGACGGUCUCCAUCCGUGAAGCCCAGCCGCCACGUUCCCUUUGGCCGACCGCUAACCGACCCACACUUAGGAUUUUGCUGCGAGUUCGAGUCGUGCGUUGAGGUGUUGGGAGUAACGUUAGGCUCCCUUACAUUCACAACCAGAUUGUGAAUUGUUGAAGGUUCAGUUCGCCAUUAUAUCGGAUUGUUUCGAGGACGUUAGUUGAUUAAGGAGCUUCCCUAACUUUGAGGCAAAGGUAGUAA